AGUGAACGCUGGCGGCAGGCCUAAUACAUGCAAGUCGAACGGCAGCACAGCAGAGCUUGCUCUGUGGGUGGCGAGUGGCGGACGGGUGAGGAAUACAUGGGAAUCUGCCCAGUCGUGGGGGAUAACGUAUGGAAACGUACGCUAAUACCGCAUGCGCCCUACGGGGGAAAGCCGGGACCGCAAGGCCUGGCGCGAUUGGAUGAGCCCAUGUUCGAUUAGCUAGUUGGCGGGGUAAAGGCCCACCAAGGCGACGAUCGAUAGCUGGUCUGAGAGGAUGAUCAGCCACACUGGAACUGAGACACGGUCCAGACUCCUACGGGAGGCAGCAGUAGGGAAUAUUGGACAAUGGGGGCAACCCUGAUCCAGCCAUGCCGCGUGAGUGAAGAAGGCCCUCGGGUUGUAAAGCUCUUUUGUCCGGAAAGAAAGCAAUCGGUUAAUACCCGGUUGUUCUGACGGUACCGGAAGAAUAAGCACCGGCUAACUUCGUGCCAGC
rnacentral:rRNA from 1 species